UAUUCCCGAAUAUUCUAGGGGUACUUUUAUAAACCUACAUAAUCCUUACGUCCUGUGCCCUCUAGUUAACGUCAAAAUUAAAACAGGGAAAUAUAGCUUGCAAUAAUAUUUCUGAUUCGCGCCAUUUUUGUUAUUAAUAUAUUAUUUUGCCAUAGUUAAUUUUCAGUGUAAGUCUGUACAGAGAUAACGUUCAGAACCUUCAGUACUUACACUGUUAGUUAGAUUUAUUGGUAUGUUAACUUUUAUUGAUUUUUAAUUUUAUUGGCUUUACUUCUAGAUAAUUGCUUGAACAAAGUAUGUCUACACGAAAAAUUAAGUGGGUUACUGGAUUAUGCCUGUGCUCCAUGGUUUGUUAAUUAUAUUGGCUAGUGUUGGUAAACAUGUUUCGCGUAGUGGAAAAUCCUGAUGGUUCCACUUUGGUUUACAAGGCCAACACCAAUGAGUUGCUGUGUGUUGUACAAGGAAAACAUCCUUUGCCAACAGGUGCUUCCCAAUCAGUUCUAGCUCGAAAAACAAAAGACAUUCUUAAAACUUGUAGCAAAGGUAUGACAGUUUUUCUUAAUC